GCGCAGCAGUCGCGAAACCUCCGCGAUGCGCGAAAGCGCGACGGGGUUACCCCGAGUGCCGUCCGCCGAGGACGGCUUUUGCCCAGUGUAGCCAGCUGGGCGAAUAAGGAGAGGGCAAGUCUGGUGUCAGCCGCCGCGGUAAUACCAGCUCUCCGAGUGGUGGGGACGCUUAUUGGGCCUAAAGCAUCCGUAGCCGGUCUGGCAAGUCCCUUGUUAAAUCCAACGAUUCAAUCGUUGGACUGCAAGGGAUACUGCCAGACUAGGGGGCGGGAGAGGCCGACGGUAUUCCCGGGGUAGGGGUGAAAAUCCUAUAAUCCCCGGGAGGACCACCAGUGGCGAAGGCUGUCGGCUAGAACGCGCCCGACGGUGAGGGGUGAAAGCUGGGGGAGCGAACCGGAUUAGAUACCCCCGUAGU
rnacentral:rRNA from 1 species